GAUGAACGCUGGCGGCGUGCCUAACACAUGCAAGUCGAGCGAUUUACUUCGGUAAAGAGCGGCGGACGGGUGAGUAACGCGUGGGUAACCUGCCCUGUACACACGGAUAACAUACCGAAAGGUAUGCUAAUACGAGAUAAUAAACUUUUAUCGCAUGGUAGAAGUAUCAAAGCUUUUGCGGUACAGGAUGGACCCGCGUCUGAUUAGCUAGUUGGUAAGGUAACGGCUUACCAAGGCGACGAUCAGUAGCCGACCUGAGAGGGUGAUCGGCCACAUUGGAACUGAGACACGGUCCAAACUCCUACGGGAGGCAGCAGUGGGGAAUAUUGCACAAUGGGCGAAAGCCUGAUGCAGCGACGCCGCGUGAGCGAUGAAGGCCUUCGGGUCGUAAAGCUCUGUCCUCAAGGAAGAUAAUGACGGUACUUGAGGAGGAAGCCCCGGCUAACUACGUGCCAGCCGCCGCGGUAA
rnacentral:rRNA from 1 species